rnacentral:rRNA from 1 species
UACGAAGGGGGCUAGCGUUGCUCGGAAUGACUGGGCGUAAAGGGCGCGUAGGCGGUUUGCACAGUCAGGCGUGAAAUUCCUGGGCUUAACCUGGGGGCUGCGCUUGAUACGUGUGGACUGGAGUGCGGAAGAGGGUCGUGGAAUUCCCAGUGUAGAGGUGAAAUUCGUAGAUAUCAGGAGGAACACCGGUGGCGAAGGCGGCUUCCUGGCCAUUCACUGACGCUGAGACGCGAAAGCGUGGGGAGCAAACAGG